rnacentral:rRNA from 1 species
UACGGGGGGGGCAAGCGUUGUUCGGAAUUACUGGGCGUAAAGGGCUCGUAGGUUGCCAACUAAGUCAGACGUGAAAUCCCUCGGCUUAACCGGGGAACUGCGUCUGAUACUGGAUGGCUUGAGUUCGGGAGAGGGAUGCGGAAUUCCAGGUGUAGCGGUGAAAUGCGUAGAUAUCUGGAGGAACACCGGUGGCGAAGGCGGGAUCCUGGGCCAGUACUGACGCUGAGGAGCGAAAGCGUGGGGAGCAAACAGG